rnacentral:lncRNA from 1 species
GAGUCUCUUCUGAUGGAGUCUGAAGGGAGCAGUUGCAUUUCUAUGUACUGCUGAGUGGCAGGAAUAAAACAUGUAAAAAGGACUCCUGUCUGUCUCAUUUCCCCUCCCUGGGAGAAUGCAGGGAGGGAGAGAGAAGCAGAAAUGCAGAGGGUGUGUUCUUUCUCAGUCUAAUGAGAAGAAUCGCCGGGUUUGUUUACCUAGCCUGCCGGGGGUCGCAGACGGAAGGUAAACACAGUAUCUCGCUCAAUUGCCUCGGGGGAGGCCAGGUACCUCUGACUGUGAGCUAAGAUACUGACAUAUGGCAGCCUUCGGAUGGUUACGAUUCAUCGGACAUCUGCAUAAGAGGCUGGUGGAUUUGUCCUCCUCUGCUCCAAGGGAGAAGGCAAGCGUCUGAGAGAAGCCAGAGGCUCAACAGACGGCUGGUGGAAAGAAGAAGGUGUUUUCCAAGCAACGGAGCUCAAGGUAUGCUGCACAUUUCGGGCUAAAAGUGUGAACGCAGGUUGAAUAAUUCCCUGGUUCAUGGGAGCUGCGUUUAAAAAAAGCCAGCUCCGGGAGAAGAGGCCUGCAGCUUGGAAGCUGAAGCCUGCAUUCCACAAAUUCUUGUGGUUGAUAAACUGUCCUAUUGGAAUGCAUUGUUGCUAAGUAACGGAAAGUUGGAAAGUUACUGGCAGAGAGGCUGGAUUGUGAGGCUGGGCAAAAGUGAAACAAAGCCACAGAGUGUUUUGGCUACAACUUACGAGCUCUUGGAGGGACUUUCCAUAGCAGCCAGAGUUUAGCUGCCAGGUGCUAAAAGCAUAAACAGGUUGCAGUUUGCCUGCCUGAGAAAAGAAAAAAACAACUGUUGGAUUUUACAGCUUGCUUGAGAGUGUGAGCUAGAGGCUUGGCUUCAAGAUGGAUGCCAAGAAGGGAGCGCUGCCUUGCCCACCUCCCUUAACCAAUGACAAUUAUUCAUCUUGGUCUGUUAAGAUGAAGGCCCUGCUGCAGAAUCAGAGGCUUUUUGAUGUAAUUGAAAACCCCAUCCCUGCAGCACCAACCGGAGGUUGGGAGUCACGGAACGUAAGGGCCAGGACUGCUAUAAUUCUGUGUGUCUCAGAUCAGCAGCUUGUGCAUAUCCAGCAUUUAGAAAAUGCGAAAGAGGUUUGGGAUAUGCUGCGUACAAUGCAUCAGAGAGAUGCUGGUUCUUCAGCGUUGCUGUAUUUUGAGAAGUUAACCAAUCUGAGACUAGCGCCUGAUGGAGAUGUUCAAGCGCACCUGACAGAAAUGAAGUUUCUGCGUCAACAGAUGGUGGAACGCAAUUUCCGUCUUCAGGAGGAAGUGUUUUGCUUCAUGAUGAUAAACAGCCUUAAUCGCACCUAUAAGGUUGUUGCCAGUCAGCUUGGUUCCCUACCGGCCGCGCAGCUAACCGUGGAAAGAGUGUGUGCUGUGGUCCUGAAUGAACACGACAGACUUGCUGCACUGGAAGUGAAGGACAGGGGGAGGCAAGAACAGAGUUCAAAUCUUCCCACUGCUGAAUCUACUGGAGAGCAUGGAGUAGCAUUGAGUGCUGUCCGAUGCCACAAUUGUGGACAGACUGGGCAUCUACAGCGAAACUGUAGGAAGCCGCGCCAGUCAAAAGGAGCAAAGAGCAGCUCUACGAAGCCUGAGGCGUCAGGCCAAAGCCGUUCCAAGUGCCAGGUGAAACCUGCGAAGGCUAUGAUGGCGAAAGGAACCACGCCAGAUGUUGGGAACGCCUUUAUAAUCGACACUGGUUGUACAAAACAUUUAUGCCCACACAGACAACUGUUUUCGACGUUGAAGAAGCAAAGCUUCACUGUGAAACAGGCCAACGGUCAAGAGCUGGAAGCAACCGGUAUUGGGACUGUGUAUCUUGAGAGUCUGAACUUGACUAUAAGUGAUGUUUACCUGGUUCCAGAACUGAGAUUUAAUCUGCUGAGCGUGUCGCAGAUUGCAAAGAAAGGACUGAAAAUGUCCUAUGAUGUUAAAAGCUGCAAGAUCUACAAAGAUGGAGAACUGUUUCUUACUGCCAAAGAGAAAGAUGGACUGUAUUUGUUGACUUUUGAUCAAAGUGAUUACAUGAAAUGUAAUUCUUCUGAUUCUAACGAAAUCUCUCUUGCAGGUGUGACCAGUGUGAGCACCAGGAAGGUGACCAAGAAGGUCGACAGAGCAUUUCAGCGGGUGUAUGCUGAUGUGAUUGGUCCUCUAGAACCAUCUAGGGGCAGUGCAAAAUAUUACCUUUUGUGUGUGGAUUGUUUCACUAAUUAUUCUUGGGUUUAUAUGAUGGAGAAACCGCAAGAAACUUUAGAAAAGUUUCAGGAGUUUUGUGACAAGGUUAAAAAUAUGCAUGAUGCUAACAUUGAUUGUCUUUUCACAGAUGAGAAGCAAAUUUUUCUGUUACAGAAGUUUCAGAAGUUCCUGGAUGGAAAAGGGAUAGACCACAAAGUUGCAGUUUCGCAAGAAGCGUGGAACAGGGGGGUCUGUGUUAGGGUGAACAAAGAAUUGCAAAAGGGGAUGCAUGCGCAAUUGCUGAGUUCACAUUUGCCACAUGAAUAUUGGGCCGAAUCUCUAGCGUCCUAUCUUCAUGUGUGGUUGAGAAAAGUCUCAACAGAGUUGGGAUGUUCUCCUUUUGAGAAGCUGUUCAAUAGAAAACCUUCUGUUGCCUAUUUCAAGGUUUUCGGGUCUCAUGUGAGAACAGAAGCUCCAGGUGGAGUAAAGAAUGCCAGAGGCAUUUUUGUGGGUUAUGAAAAGGGUCUCUACAGAGUAAUUUUGUCUGAAUCUGGUCAGGUGAUUCUCACAAAGUUUCUAGAGAGUGCUCCAGAACAAGAGCGGGUUGUAGAACAAACAUUUCCCACAGGUGGCAAUUCAGAUGAUGAUGAUGAUGAUGAUGAUGAUGAUUUUUCUGAUGUCACAGAUUACAGUGGUACUGACGAUGACAGUGAUAGCUCAGAGAGUUCAGUUGUAACAGUCAUUGAGAGAAAAUCUCACACAAUGGAUAGACCUUCACAGAUGAAGGAAGAACCACUGUUAGCCAAUGCUACUGGUUCUCAACAAAGUCCAGAGGUUGAACCAGUGAGCACAGAGGAUCAGAACCUCAAACGCAGGUCUGAGAGAGUUACAAAGGGUGUACCACCAAAGAGGUACUCAAAAGAGUUUGCUAACUUAGCUGUUGCAUGUAUUGCUAUUGUUAACAACUCAAAGCAGGUUGAAGCAGUGUCUAAGUCAGAGACAAAGACACAACAGAGAGUAGCAAGCCAAGGUAAUGCAGAAGCACUCAUUCCUUGGAAGCCAGACAACCAGAGAGGUACACUGGUGAAACCAGUGGUGGGGAGUUCCAAGGGUGGAACUGAAACAACAGGGGAUUGUUAUAUGUAUAACAACUGUUUCUUUUCUUCUCUGGAUCAUGUUUUGCCUAUUGAUGCUUUUGGGGGAGGAUGUCAGGAAAAAGCACCAAGGCAAAAGCCAGCUCCAGAUGGCUGGAAUGCAAAACAGGAUGUUGUGGUUUGCAGAUGUACUGUUGGAGAAAAGGUGGAGUCUAUUCUCUGUACUGAGCACCGGAUGUUAGCUCAGAGUGUCAUAUGACCUGUGCUGGAAGUACAGGGGAGGAGCUGUGAGUCUCUUCUGAUGGAGUCUGAAGGGAGCAGUUGCAUUUCUAUGUACUGCUGAGUGGCAGGAAUAAAACAUGU